AUCGUUAGUGAUUUCUUGCAGUGAGGGAGCUGGAAAGACAGCCUGGGAGGACAGGAAGCUCUAGAGAGGCUGGUGUAUGGGCUAGGGCCUGGUGUUGUUCCCUGCUGAGAGGGAACUUGGAGGCUAGAUGUAAGGCCUGGGAUACAUGCCUGCUGGUGGGCAAAGCAAUGUAGGAAGUAGCCCUGGCAAAAAGUGGAGAGAAUGGGCAUCUGGAGGUGGGUGUGGAUGGCUGUUUCAUCAAUUUUUUCCUUGGGGCCAGGGCAUGGGCUCCCUUAUGUGUCAGCUGUCCCACCUGGAAGAUGUGAGCUGAUAAUCACUAGUGAAUGUGGGGCAAAGCACUGUGGUAAAUCCCUGCCAGCUGGGGCUGAAGGUUGGGACCCUGAACAGAGGACUGUACUGAAGAACUUGGAGUCCUGCACUGAGGAACAAAUUACUACUGAUGCUUAGGCUGUGGUGGGCAGAGGUUGAUCAGCGGAGCCCUGUGCUGCAGGAUGAAGGCUGUGCUUUGUCUAGGCACAAAGAUUUACUGUGUUGGACUUUAUUUACCUGGCAGUGGAAGGACUUUCCCUCUAUCUGGAGGACCAAACCACUAAAAUUAUCCACCCGACUCAUCCUACCACGCUGGGAAAGACACUGUGAAGCUGAGACAGAGUAGGAAGAAGCUGAGGGAUGGUUCUGAACCUGAUGUUGCAGAGGUUGAAGAUAAUAGCAAUAAUAAGAAGUUACUGCUGUCUUGCAAUAUUAUUACUCAGAAAAACCAGCCUUUAAGCUUCCCAUGCUGUUGUGAUGCAAUCAGGGUAACCAGACAACAUGACGCAUCAAGUGCAGGGCUUUUCAUCAUAAAAAUAGUGUUGCCAAUAACAUCACCUAGCUGACAACCAAGCGGGGAGUUUCCAAACGUCUUCCAGAACACUGACUCCUUGUUAUAAAUUCAAGAUUGCUAAUCGCAAUGGUGCAUAUCACAUCUGUACUAGGCUUCAGGACUGGAAAGAAGCAACCUCCCUACUGCUGGAUGGAAUUGGGAAAGAUGUUUUCAGUCUGCACAUGCAUCAGCAUUAGCCAUUUCUUUGUCAACAAAUCCCUUAAAACAGACUAUUUCUAUUAUGUACAGAUGUCCAAGAAAUAAUGGAAUACUGUACUACAAGAUUAAACACUUUAAUGUCAGCAUAUGUGCUGCAGGACUCUGAACAAUGGUGUCAUUGUAUAUGUACCAAAAGGGAGGGCUAAGGGAAGAUGGGUUUAAUUAUGUCUAGAGCAGCAGCAAAUUCUUCCCAAAUGGAGUUGAACUCCAGCAAGCAAGGAUGCAUAGACUGGAGACUGAUAUUAAAACAAAGUGUUUGUGCCCUUUCUCAUAUUCACCCAUUAGGCUUGAAAUGGCAAACCUAGUUUUACCUGUCUGAUUUCAUAAGAAUGGUGUUGAACCACCUGGCUUCCUAGAACUGCUGCAGCAACAGGAAGUAAUGAGUUUAGAUGAUAUUGGAAACCACCACAUCCUGUCAUCCCACAUGUUACCCAGGAGUUUUUGAACAUUAACAACAUUAGGAUGGUUGAGGAAAGAAAAUGGUGUAGGAGUUUGUACAGUUGAAGAAUGCCCCUAGCUGGGAUUUGAA